rnacentral:rRNA from 1 species
GUGAGGAAUAUUGGUCAAUGGGCGGGAGCCUGAACCAGCCAAGUCGCGUGAAGGAAGAAGGAUCUAUGGUUCGUAAACUUCUUUUGCAGGGGAAUAAAGUGCAGGACGUGUCCUGUUUUGUAUGUACCCUGAGAAUAAGGAUCGGCUAACUCCGUGCCAGCAGCCGCGGUAAUACGGAGGAUCCGAGCGUUAUCCGGAUUUAUUGGGUUUAAAGGGUGCGUAGGUGGUUUGAUAAGUCAGUGGUGAAAGUUUGCAGCUUAACUGUAAAAAUGCCGUUGAAACUGUCGGACUUGAGUGUAAAUGAGGUAGGCGGAAUGCGUGGUGUAGCGGUGAAAUGCAUAGAUAUCACGCAGAACUCCGAUUGCGAAGGCAGCUUACUAAGCUACAACUGACACUGAAGCACGAAAGCGUGGGGAUCAAACAGGAUUAGAAACCCGGGUAGUCC